CAGAUAGUUUAUGAUUUCUGACGCAACUUAAAAUUUUCUCUAGACAUGUGAUUAAUUGUAUUCUAAUUGAUAAAUUGUUGUUAUUGCCAAAAUGAAUCCUAACAUGUACUGUAGAAAGGUGCAUAUAACAAACACUUGUCCUCAGAAACACAUAUUGUUAAAAAGAUUUCCCUGAAACACGUUUCGGGGUAGAAUUUUAGUCGAAAAAUAACGCUAGCCAUGAAUUUGAAUUUUGUUUAGUGUAUUCUGACGAUUCUGUGUAUAUACUAUAUUGAAUUAUUUAUCUGUUCUGUCAUUGUACAGUUAUAGCCACAAUGUUGUCUUUAAUAUUGUGUAUUGGACUUGUAUAUGGAUCAGUUAUACCCGAAAACCCGGAUACGGAAGUUGAGAUGCCACUUAUAAGUAACGACGAUGUUCCCCUGGUUGCUAAGUUGGAUACUAAAAAUUUGAAUAUGGCAAUAAAAACAUACAUUAAUAAAACUAUGGAAAAGAGUGUUAUGGAAAAAAUUUCCGAAUUGAAAUUGGAUAUACUGUCUAAAAUUAAAACAGGUAAUUAU
rnacentral:lncRNA from 1 species